GAUGAACGCUGGCGGCGUGCCUAAUACAUGCAAGUCGAGCGAACGGACGAGAAGCUUGCUUCUCUGAUGUUAGCGGCGGACGGGUGAGUAACACGUGGAUAACCUACCUAUAAGACUGGGAUAACUUCGGGAAACCGGAGCUAAUACCGGAUAAUAUUUUGAACCGCAUGGUUCAAAAGUGAAAGACGGUCUUGCUGUCACUUAUAGAUGGAUCCGCGCUGCAUUAGCUAGUUGGUAAGGUAACGGCUUACCAAGGCAACGAUGCAUAGCCGACCUGAGAGGGUGAUCGGCCACACUGGAACUGAGACACGGUCCAGACUCCUACGGGAGGCAGCAGUAGGGAAUCUUCCGCAAUGGGCGAAAGCCUGACGGAGCAACGCCGCGUGAGUGAUGAAGGUCUUCGGAUCGUAAAACUCUGUUAUUAGGGAAGAACAUAUGUGUAAGUAACUGUGCACAUCUUGACGGUACCUAAUCAGAAAGCCACGGCUAACUACGUGCCAGCAGCCGCGGUAAUACGUAGGUGGCAAGCGUUAUCCGGAAUUAUUGGGCGUAAAGCGCGCGUAGGCGGUUUUUUAAGUCUGAUGUGAAAGCCCACGGCUCAACCGUGGAGGGUCAUUGGAAACUGGAAAACUUGAGUGCAGAAGAGGAAAGUGGAAUUCCAUGUGUAGCGGUGAAAUGCGCAGAGAUAUGGAGGAACACCAGUGGCGAAGGCGACUUUCUGGUCUGUAACUGACGCUGAUGUGCGAAAGCGUGGGGAUCAAACAGGAUUAGAUACCCUGGUAGUCCACGCCGUAAACGAUGAGUGCUAAGUGUUAGGGGGUUUCCGCCCCUUAGUGCUGCAGCUAACGCAUUAAGCACUCCGCCUGGGGAGUACGACCGCAAGGUUGAAACUCAAAGGAAUUGACGGGGACCCGCACAAGCGGUGGAGCAUGUGGUUUAAUUCGAAGCAACGCGAAGAACCUUACCAAAUCUUGACAUCCUUUGACAACUCUAGAGAUAGAGCCUUCCCCUUCGGGGGACAAAGUGACAGGUGGUGCAUGGUUGUCGUCAGCUCGUGUCGUGAGAUGUUGGGUUAAGUCCCGCAACGAGCGCAACCCUUAAGCUUAGUUGCCAUCAUUAAGUUGGGCACUCUAAGUUGACUGCCGGUGACAAACCGGAGGAAGGUGGGGAUGACGUCAAAUCAUCAUGCCCCUUAUGAUUUGGGCUACACACGUGCUACAAUGGACAAUACAAAGGGCAGCGAAACCGCGAGGUCAAGCAAAUCCCAUAAAGUUGUUCUCAGUUCGAAUUGUAGUCUGCAACUCGACUACAUGAAGCUGGAAUCGCUAGUAAUCGUAGAUCAGCAUGCUACGGUGAAUACGUUCCCGGGUCU
rnacentral:rRNA from 1 species